UCCAAAGAUGGCAACUUUUAAUCGUUUCAUAUUACUCGCUUAAUGGGCAUACUUUGGUUUGAAGUCAGCUGCGCGGACGACCUUCAAGCGAGACUCAGACAACAGUGCAUUACAUAAAUACAAGAACAAGCUGGCCAACAGCAGCAGCAGCAGCAGUGGCAGCAGCCACACCACAGCCACAUAAUACUUGUGAUGGAGUGACGGGGCAAGUUGGAGGUGGUGUCGUGUCAGUGUUUUGUACACUUUUGACCUGCUUUUGCUAUCGCAAAAUGGUUGCCAGCACAUGUGGGCUUCUGAAGCAUGUGAUUACUGAAGACUCGAUAUUGCUUGAACUAAAUUUAAUGAAACCUGUGUUCCCUCCAGGAUCAGAUGGCGUCUCAAGUUGAGUGAUUAGAUAUUGCGCCAGUUCCAUAUAUCUACUUUUACAUAGACUAUUUGCCUUCUCCGUUAAAAACUUGCGCAUUGCCUUCAAUCUGGAAGGAAUCAUUUAUUAUUCCAAUACAAAAGAAUGGCAUAAGAAUUGUCUGUUACACCUACACUUUGAAAAAAUAAUACUACUGGGAGUAAGCAGUAUAUAAUUUAAGGGGUG